UCUCCAGGUCAGCUUCCGUAAUUCCAGAGAGUUUGAUGAAGCUCAAAGCCUCACGGUGAGGGCAGAUGAUAGUCUCUAACUUGUCUAGGAAGGAAAGCCAGGGCUGGAUGAAAGACUGCUGAGAACG
rnacentral:lncRNA from 1 species